UACGUAGGGGGCAAGCGUUAUCCGGAUUUACUGGGUGUAAAGGGAGCGCAGGCGGGAAAGCAAGUCAGCUGUGAAAUCCAUGGGCUCAACCCAUGAACUGCAUUUGAAACUGUUUUUCUUGAGUGCUGGAGAGGCAAUCGGAAUUCCGUGUGUAGCGGUGAAAUGCGUAGAUAUUAGGAGGAACACCAGUGGCGAAGGCGGCUUACUGGACGGUAACUGACGUUGAGGCUCGAAAGCGUGGGGAGCAA
rnacentral:rRNA from 1 species